AAGUCGUAACAAGGUAACCGUAGGUGAACCUGCGGUUGGAUCAUUACCAAAUAUCCUUGGGGGCCUCGGCCCCCUACCCCCACCUUUUGUGCAACGUAACGUUUUGGCGGGGUCUCCCUAAGCUGCCGUGUGUAGACUCUCUUGCCUAAGACUCCUCACCGGGUCUCGGCACUUGUUGGCACACCUCCAGCGCAGGGAGACGUGUGAGGGCUCAUCCCCUCGACCGUCAAAUUACCCCACCUUUUACACCUACCAACCCAACAUCUGACGUUUAUACGCGCGGUGCACACUCACUCCCUGCUCCAGUGCAUGCCUCGGCGUGCGGUGUUGCGUGGUGUGUGUGUUGGACUGUGACACUAACGAAAAACAACUUUUGACAACGGAUCUCUUGGCUCUC
rnacentral:misc_RNA from 1 species